GGCGCGGGGGGGAGGCCGGGUCGCGGGGCCGCGCACGGCCGGGAGGCGCGCACCCUGGCCGAGGCCGGAACCGGGCGGCUUGGGGCCCGAAGGAGACCCCGCCGCUCCUCGCCGCCCGCGGCCGGGGCCCACUGCGCCCUUGGCCAGCCCCGCCGGCCCGGGCCUUGCGAUGGGCGGCCUGAGGGCCGACCCCGGGGCGCGCACCGGCGGGGGCAGCGUUGGAAGCCCUGCCUGGCGGGCCCGGCGGGCGCGCCGCGUUCUGAGCGUCCACCAUCCGGGCAGCCAGGCUGGCGCUCGAAGCCCCCGACGCCCCUGCGCCCGGAGACCAAGCCCCCGAGGCCCAGAGCUGGGCCCUGCGCCUCGCCGCUGGCUGGCUGCCGGUCCCCGGAGCUGCGCGCCGAGGCGGCCCCGCUCCGCUUCCUUCCCACCGCCAGCCGGGUGGCGGGGGCGGCCCUCGGCCCGGCGGCUCGUCGAUUGAGAAUCAGUGCGCACCUCGAUAGAGGCCUGACCGAACCGAGAGGCCAGAGUUGUUUUCUGUUUUCUGCAGAGCUGAGGCUUCACGGGCCUCCGGGACUUCGGUGCGCACGGAAACCAGCCGCACCCUGGCGAUGGCGCGGAGGGACUGUGGUCUUAGUCCGGGUCUGAACGAGUGCCAGGAGGAAGACAAAGAAUUUAAAGACGGACAGGGUGAAAGAGCAUCUCCUGGGGAUUGUGCGUCACGUGAGGAAGAUGGCGGUGCCCUCGUGGACUUUGCAGGAAUUCCUAUCUCAGAGUUGAAGAACCGUGACGUUCUCCGGGCCCUGACAGCAGAAGCUAAUGGAUGGGAGCCAGGUGUUGUGAGCGCAGAGGUGCUCAGGGCCCAAGAGGAAUGGGAAGCUGUGGACACCAUCCAGCCAGAUGCAGAGAGCUGGGACAGCUCAGACCAGCCUGGACAGCUCAUCUCCUUUGGUGAGGCCCUGCAGCACCUCCAGACUCUGGACCUCUCCUCCUUCAAGAAGAGAAUACAACCAACUGUUCGAAGGACUGGGCUCGCCGCCCUCCGGCACUGCCUCUUCGGGCCUCCUAAGCUCCAUCAGGGCCUUCGGGAGGAAAGGGACUUGGUCUUGACCAUCGCUCAGUGUGGCCUGGACAGCCAAGACCCAGUGCACGGCCGUGUGCUCCAGACCAUCUACAAGAAGCUGACCGGCUCCAAACUGGACUGCGCCCUCCGGGGAGACCACUGGGAGGACCUGGGCUUUCAGGGAGCGAAUCCGGCCACAGACCUGAGAGGGGCGGGCUUCCUUGCCCUCCUGCACCUGCUGUACCUGGUGAUGGAUGCGAAGACCUUGCUUAUGGCCCAGGAGAUUUUCCGCCUGUCUCGUCACCAUAUCCAGCAGUUUCCCUUCUGUUUGAUGUCGGUGAAUGUCACCCGCAUCACCAUCCAGGCCCUGAGGGAGGAGUGUCUCUCCAGGGAGUGUAACCGGCAGCAAAAGGUCAUUGCCGUGGUGAACAGCUUCUAUGCCGCCACUUUCCUCCGCCUCGCCCACGUCUGGAGGACCCAGCAGAAGACCAUCUCAGACUCAGGCUUUGUCCUCAAAGAUUUGGAAGCGUUGGCCAAGAAGAGCCCACGGCGGCUGCUCAAGACCCUGGAGAGCUACCUGGCCCGGGCGUCAAAGGGACAGGCCUCCUUGUUGGCACAGAAGUGUCCUGGGCCACAAGCCCCUCCCUCCACAGAUCUCACCUUCACAGGUGUGUGUGACCUGCAGCCCCACUCCUCCGAGGGUGCAGGGCUGAUCUGAGCAGCCCAGAGACCAGCCAGCAGGAAGACCCCCAGCCUGGCCACCAGGCUUCAGAGGUCACACAGCAGACCACGUCUAGAGCCCCUUGGCCGGGCCAAGCACCUUCCUGCCGUGGCAGGUGAGGGCUGGCAGUCUGUGAGGACAGGAUGUGGGGAUCAGCAGGGCAGCUGGUUUCUACGCUCUGGCACAGUCAGCAAGAAGUGGUCUGUGUCAGCCCAAAGCCACCACAGCCUCAGGACUCAGGGCUCCUCGGCACUGGGCAGGCAGGGGCUGGGGGAAGCCCACCCUUACUUCCAGUCCUUGAAGAAUUGCUUGAAGAUGGGACUCUCACGGCCCUGGGGCAGAAUCUCCACCUGCAGGACAGUGUAGAGAAGGCUGGCUCGGAAGCUGCCGCCUGUCUCUGCCAGGGAGGAGGCUGUGGUCAGCAGGCCAGGCACACUCCUCCAGGUCGGCCCGGAGCAGACCCUGCUUCAAGGGCUGAUGUGGUUUGACAGGCCACCCGUUACACCUGAGCCCCAUCGGGAUGACCAACUACCCCAGGGUGGUCACAGCCUAGGACAGUGACCCUGAGGAGCACAGGCCACCCAGAGACCAGCCACACUGUACAAGAAGGGUAGGGAAACCUGGGGUAGGAGGCGCCUCCCACCUGAGUGUUGGCGGCGUACUGCAUGCGGGAGAUGAAGCCUUCUGCCACUCGGAGGGCCGCCUGCCGCUCCUGCUCGUUGGCCUUCCGCCCUGGAGUGCAGGAAGGGUUUUAAAAGAGCAGAGAUCCUCUCGAGCCCCCAUCCCAUUUUCUUGAGGAAUUUCACGGGGGUCUGCAGAAUAGUCCUUGGUUUUUUAACUGGAAUACCAAAGAGCUCUUUGGAAGCAUGAAAUGAGCCUGCAGUGCUUUUCCAAACUGGCAUCUCAAAGCUAGGUGAAAACUUCUGCCCAGGCCUGCUCCUCAAACCCGCUCUGGAGCACCUGACUGCAUGCGUGGGACCCCGGGCCCCGGGGACAUAGCAGGAAGAAUGGAUUUUCUCCCUGGAAUCAACUAGAGGCAGGACCCUCACCUGUUGUGCCUGUCGACUGCAUGGCUAACAAGCCUUUUCCUUUUUUAAUUAUUUAUUUAUUUGUUUGUUUAUUUAAUGCUGGGGAUUGAACCCAGAGGCACUUUACCACUGAGCCACAUCCCCAGAUCUUUUAUAUUUUGUAGUUUGAA